CAAAUGACUCUCGGCAACGGAUAUCUCGGCUCUUGCAUCGAUGAAGAACGUAGCGAAAUGCGAUACUUGGUGUGAAUUGCAGAAUCCCGUGAACCAUCGAGUCUUUGAACGCAAGUUGCGCCCAAAGCCAUUAGGUUGAGGGCACGCCUGCCUGGGUGUCACAC
rnacentral:rRNA from 1 species